rnacentral:rRNA from 1 species
GAUGAACGCUGGCGGCGUGCCUAAUACAUGCAAGUCGAGCGAACAGAUAAGGAGCUUGCUCCUCUGACGUUAGCGGCGGACGGGUGAGUAACACGUGGAUAACCUACCUAUAAGACUGGAAUAACUUCGGGAAACCGGAGCUAAUGCCGGAUAACAUGUUGAACCGCAUGGUUCUACAGUGAAAGGCGGUUUUGCUGUCACUUAUAGAUGGAUCCGCGCCGCAUUAGCUAGUUGGUAAGGUAACGGCUUACCAAGGCAACGAUGCAUAGCCGACCUGAGAGGGUGAUCGGCCACACUGGAACUGAGACACGGUCCAGACUCCUACGGGAGGCAGCAGUAGGGAAUCUUCCGCAAUGGGCGAAAGCCUGACGGAGCAACGCCGCGUGAGUGAUGAAGGUCUUCGGAUCGUAAAACUCUGUUAUUAGGGAAGAACAUAUGUGUAAGUAACUGUGCACGUCUUGACGGUACCUAAUCAGAAAGCCACGGCUAACUACGUG